CAGCUGAAGAGGAGACCCAACUUUCCUGUUGGGGCCAUGAGGCUGCAGCUGAGAGGGCCCAUGCUUAUAUGACACUGGUAGGUUUCUGUGACCAACAACUCCGAAAGGUAGAAGAGAGUGCAUCCACUGCCUCACAGAAGAUAAGUACAGAACUGGAAGGAUAUCCAGCACUUGUGGUGGAGAAAAUGUUGAGAGCGUUAAAGUUGAACUCUUCUGAAGCCAGGCUGAAAUUUCCUAGAUUACUUCAGAUUAUAGAACAAUAUCCAGAAGAGACCGUAAACAUAAUAAUAAAAGAGAUUUCAUCCAUUCCUUGCUGGCAGUUCAUUGGCUGGAUCGGCCACAUGGUUGCCUUACUGGACAAAGAGGAAGCUAUUGCGGUGCAGCAUACCGUGGAAGAAAUUGCUGAUAACUAUCCACAGGCCA
rnacentral:lncRNA from 1 species